rnacentral:lncRNA from 1 species
UGAUUUGAGAGAAACCAAUUUGAUCGAAACAAGAUAAUUCCGGGUUCCAAUGGCCUGAGAGCGAGAAACAUCCACUCAAUCUGGUAACUUUUCUUACUUCUUCUUCUUCCACCCUUUCCAAACAUUGCAAUGUCGAGAUUCGUCGCGUCUUCGAAUGGCGGGAGACAAACCCACUAAGCAAACGAGUUUCGCCGCCCUGAAAAGACAGGACUUUGCGUCCCCAGCUGGCCAGCUCUAAUUCGUCGGUGGUUCCCGGAAAAGAUCAAUACACCUACAAAAAAAAAAAAAAGAGAGAGACUGCUGUUUUGAAAAGAAAAAAAAACAACAACAAACCGGAGAAGCAUACCAGAAACCGGAAUUCAUGGACCAUAUAAAACCGGUACUACUGACCGGUUUAUGGUAGAAACUAAAAAGCCAUAAUUUCAAUAUGAGUCCCGUACUAUUCUUUUGUUGCUUGCUUAGCCCCAAUUGUUUUAUCCUACACCCGUUAACCCUCUGCAAGUCACUGGGCUUGAUAGUCAGGAUCUAGAGUAAUUGCAAGUCAUUAUAGUUCUCUCUGUCUCACUCGUACGACAAAUGGGCGAAGAAAGAUUGAAAAUUUCUCAGCUUUUUCGGGUAAGUUCUCUGAAUCGUUUGUAUUCCACUUCACCUUUGGCACAUGGUUGAGAUUUCAGACGUAGCGUAAGUAAAUCUAACUUCGUCAGAAACAAACAAAUCAAAUAUAAAUACAAACGGUUCCUUUGACAUUCAGAAUUUGUAAUUGAUGAUUGAAAGUAAAAUAUCUAUCUAUUUUGGACAAGGACUUGAGACUUGUUUUGUUUGUUCGUAUUAAGAAAAUUUUAGCUGCUGAAUCAAUUUUGAAGACACGAAUUUAUCAUCUCUGUCAGCUUUCCAUUUCUAGAUAGUUGUUAGCUUGGGAUGACUUGGUUUCACUUACAAAGCAAUCAUUUUUGCAAAUACAAUCUUUCAACUCUGUAAUAUCUACAUGUCGUUGACAUAUUUCUACAUGCCCCUAACUUAUCUUGCUCAUCUACUAAAAAUGCCAAGAUUAUUAGCUCUUUUGUAGAUCUCUGAUGAGGAUAAUAAUUCCGCUUUUAAGGUGAAAUGAGUUGCUUCAUUAAUGUAUCAGGAGUUUGUAACCCUCCAAGAGCGAUGAUGAGGACGAUUCUUCUCCAUCUGUGGUGCCCUGUUCAUGCUGUUGGUUAUCGUUUUCUUCUAGCCCGAGUUCGCUUUCCAGGUGCUUGAACCAUUUCUCAAUUUCAUCUCCUUCAGACUCUUGAGGAGCCCUUGAACUCCAACUGUUCUCAAGAUGUUGGAAUGAGUCUGAACCAUCUAUGAAACUCCAAAUGUCAUGAUCUAAAUCAAAAGGUAUCUCCAGCAGCUCUGGUUUGUCUACCUCUUGUAACAUCCCUGUAAACUCGCUGUAAGUUUGAAUAUGCUCGAACGCUUGACUUAUCUGUGCAUCAUCUUCUUCUCUGCUUGAAAUGUUGGAGCCAGCGAAAGACAUGGAGGCAUUAGGAGAUGACUCUUGAGAGGUCUCAGCUUCGUUCAAAGAAUCUUUUGAAGCCGCUUCAUCGGCAUUAAGGUUAGUAGUGUCUGAGCUCAAUCUUUUCUUGAGAUGUGUAUGCCACACGUUCUUGAUCUCAUUGUCUGUUCUUCCUGGCAGUUUAGAAGCAAUCUUCGACCACCUGUAUCAAAAAUGCAGAAAAACAAGUGUCAAAAUUGGAACUUUGAGCCACACAAGGUAUAUUAACAAGAUGAGACAUACUUGUUCCCAAAGCUCUGGUGAAGUUUAAUGAUGGUUUCUUCUUCCUCUGCGCUGAAAUUGCCACGUUUCACAUCAGGUCUGAGGUAAUUAAUCCAUCGUAGACGACAGCUCUUGCCACACCUUAACAAUCCUUCAUUGCAUUUGCAUGCAUAGAUAGAAUCAGAACCAGAAGAUUAGAAAAUCUCAAGAAAAGUAGGAUCUUUAAGAUCGGGG